AAAAGAAAUGGAACUCGAGGUCGGUUCCAUGCAUAAAAAUGUCUUAAAUUAAGGCUAAAACUUUUUAUAUUUAUUAAGUUAAAAGAUAGAGAAGUUUGAUCAUUUAGCAAAAAGUAAAUGAAUGAUUGCUGUUUGCUUCAUGUCCCGCAGGAAAUAUUUCAUGUAUAUUCCAAACAAAAACCACAGCAGGUAUAUUAAAGGCUGUUCAAAGUAGGCCGCAGGAAUUCAAAAUAGGUUCUUCAAUUAGUCACGGUCGAUGGAGGGAAGAUGGAAUAAACGGAAGGCUUUUUAAUAGCGAAAUAGCACAAUGCGGGAUUGUUGUCUCAGAAUUAUGUUUGACUAAAAUCUAAUGUUGAGAGUACGAUACCGGGUCUCUUUAGCAUGUGAUAAGACGAGGCGUCGUCCCGAUUUCGUCUGGAUGUGGUUGCGUAUUUAAACAUCCCGCACAAGUAUUCGGGUGCCCCGUUACAAAAAAAAAUCUUACUAAAAAUGACAGAUCGGAAUUCACGGUAGACUUGUUGGUGACCAUACAUAUAUACACCAACCAGCAACCAGGUACACCAACGUAUUAAUGGACAUACAAAAGAUAUAAGACGAAGCAUAAAAAAAAAUAGCAAAUCAAAAUAAUUUCCCCGAUAAUCCUA
rnacentral:lncRNA from 1 species